UACGUAGGGUGCAAGCGUUAAUCGGAAUUACUGGGCGUAAAGCGUGCGCAGGCGGUUAUAUAAGACAGUUGUGAAAUCCCCGGGCUCAACCUGGGAACUGCAUCUGUGACUGUAUAGCUAGAGUACGGUAGAGGGGGAUGGAAUUCCGCGUGUAGCAGUGAAAUGCGUAGAGUAUGCGGAGGAACACCGAUGGCGAAGGCAAUCCCCUGGACCGUAACUCGACGGCUGAGGCACGAAAGCGUG
rnacentral:rRNA from 1 species